AAGUAGUUUACUACUUUGCCGGCGAGCGGCGGACGGGUGAGUAAUGUCUGGGGAUCUGCCUGAUGGAGGGGGAUAACUACUGGAAACGGUGGCUAAUACCGCAUGACCUCGCAAGAGCAAAGUGGGGGACCUUAGGGCCUCACGCCAUCGGAUGAACCCAGAUGGGAUUAGCUAGUAGGUGGGGUAAUGGCUCACCUAGGCGACGAUCCCUAGCUGGUCUGAGAGGAUGACCAGCCACACUGGAACUGAGACACGGUCCAGACUCCUACGGGAGGCAGCAGUGGGGAAUAUUGCACAAUGGGCGCAAGCCUGAUGCAGCCAUGCCGCGUGUGUGAAGAAGGCCUUCGGGUUGUAAAGCACUUUCAGCGAGGAGGAAGGGGUUGAGUUUAAUACGCUCAAUCAUUGACGUUACUCGCAGAAGAAGCACCGGCUAACUCCGUGCCAGCAGCCGCGGUAAUACGGAGGGUGCAAGCGUUAAUCGGAAUUACUGGGCGUAAAGCGCACGCAGGCGGUUUGUUAAGUCAGAUGUGAAAUCCCCGCGCUUAACGUGGGAACUGCAUUUGAAACUGGCAAGCUAGAGUCUUGUAGAGGGGGGUAGAAUUCCAGGUGUAGCGGUGAAAUGCGUAGAGAUCUGGAGGAAUACCGGUGGCGAAGGCGGCCCCCUGGACAAAGACUGACGCUCAGGUGCGAAAGCGUGGGGAGCAAGCAGGAUUAGAUACCCUGGUAGUCCACGCUGUAAACGAUGUCGACUUGGAGGUUGUGCCCUUGAGGCGUGGCUUCCGGAGCUAACGCGUUAAGUCGACCGCCUGGGGAGUACGGCCGCAAGGUUAAAACUCAAAUGAAUUGACGGGGGCCCGCACAAGCGGUGGAGCAUGUGGUUUAAUUCGAUGCAACGCGAGAACCUUACCUACUCUUGACAUCCACAGAAUUUGGCAGAGAUGCUAAAGUGCCUUCGGGAACUGUGAGACA
rnacentral:rRNA from 1 species